rnacentral:rRNA from 1 species
UAUGGCGACCGGCGCACGGGUGAGUAACGCGUAUGCAACUUACCUAUCAGAGGGGAGAGCCCGGCGAAAGUCGGAUUAAUACCCCAUAAACAGGGGUCCCGCAUGGGAAUAUUUGUUAAAGAUUCAUCGCUGAUAGAUAGGCAUGCGUUCCAUUAGGCAGUUGGCGGGGUAACGGCCCACCAAACCGACGAUGGAUAGGGGUUCUGAGAGGAAGGUCCCCCACAUUGGUACUGAGACACGGACCAA